rnacentral:lncRNA from 1 species
CACACUCAGUAGAGUGACCUGUUUCUUCCCCCAGAGGGUGGGAUGCUGUCAGCACCUCAGGGUCACAGGUCAGGCGACCUGUCUAAGGAAGAAGAGGUUACAAGAGGUCACCUGGGAACCAGUUGCAGGUACCAAUCUUGCUUGGCUCCAAGUCGCUUCCUUGGGACUCAAGAGGGCAGAGCGCAAGAAUGGUGACCCUGUCUGGGAGGUACAGCAUCCAUACCUGUCACAGGUUCAUAGACAGUCAUAGACAACAAGAGCCCUGAACACUGUCGUCAGCAUCUCGUGUAACACUCACUGGAGCCUUUGAUGAAGGUGAUUGCAUUGUCCAUCUUGUGUGGAUUAAUAAAAUGGAGAUUUAGAAAGGGGUCUGAUGACAUCCUUAGACUUCAGAAAUGACACUCAUUUGUUUACUAUUACACUUCAAAAG